rnacentral:rRNA from 1 species
UACGGAGGAUGCAAGCGUUAUCCGGAUUUAUUGGGUUUAAAGGGUGCGUAGGCGGGAUAAUAAGUCAGUGGUGAAAGCCUGUAGCUUAACUAUAGAAAUGCCAUUGAUACUGUUGUCCUUGAGUACAGUUGAGGUAGGCGGAAUGUGUAAUGUAGCGGUGAAAUGCUUAGAUAUUACACAGAACACCGAUUGCGAAGGCAGCUUACUAAGCUGGUACUGACGCUGAGGCACGAAAGCGUGGGGAGCAAACAGGAUUAGAUACCCUGGUAGUCCACGCUGUAAACGAUGAUCACUCGUUGUUGGCGAUAAACAGUCAGCGACUGAGCUAAAGCAUUAAGUGAUCCACCUGGGGAGUACGGCGGCAACGCUGAA